rnacentral:rRNA from 1 species
AGAGUUUGAUCCUGGCUCAGGACGAGCGCUGGCGGCGUGCCUAACACAUGCAAGUCGAACGGGGUAAUUUCUUCGGAGAUUACUUAGUGGCGAACGGGUGAGUAACGCGUGAGAAACCUGCCUUUCAGUGGGGGACAACAGUUGGAAACGACUGCUAAUACCGCAUAAUGUUAUUUGGGGGCAUCCUCGAAUAACCAAAGCUUUAUGUGCUGAAAGAUGGUCUCGCGUCUGAUUAGCUAGAUGGCGGGGUAACGGCCCACCAUGGCGACGAUCAGUAGCCGGUCUGAGAGGAUGAACGGCCACAUUGGGACUGAGAUACGGCCCAGACUCCUACGGGAGGCAGCAGUGGGGAAUAUUGGGCAAUGGGGGAAACCCUGACCCAGCAACGCCGCGUGAAGGAAGAAGGCCUUCGGGUUGUAAACUUCUUUUACCAGGGACGAAGAACGUGACGGUACCUGGAGAAAAAGCAACGGCUAACUACGUGCCAGCAGCCGCGGUAAUACGUAGGUUGCAAGCGUUGUCCGGAUUUACUGGGUGUAAAGGGCGUGUAGGCGGAGAUGCAAGUCAGGAGUGAAAUCCCGGGGCUCAACCCCGGAACUGCUUUUGAAACUGUAUCCCUUGAGUGUCGGAGAGGCAAGCGGAAUUCCUAGUGUAGCGGUGAAAUGCGUAGAUAUUAGGAGGAACACCAGUGGCGAAGGCGGCUUGCUGGACGACAACUGACGGUGAGGCGCGAAAGCGUGGGGAGCAAACAGGAUUAGAUACCCUGGUAGUCCACGCUGUAAACGAUGAAUACUAGGUGUGCGGGGACUGACCCCCUGCGUGCCGCAGCUAACGCAAUAAGUAUUCCACCUGGGGAGUACGAUCGCAAGGUUGAAACUCAAAGGAAUUGACGGGGGCCCGCACAAGCGGAGGAACAUGUGGUUUAAUUCGAUGAUACGCGAGGAACCUUACCCGGGCUCGAACGGUAUGUGAACGACUCAGAGAUGAGGAGGUCCUUCGGGACACAUAUCGAGGUGCUGCAUGGUUGUCGUCAGCUCGUGUCGUGAGAUGUUGGCUUAAGUGCCAUAACGAGCGCAACCCUUGUCGUUAGUUACCAUCAAGUAAAGUUGGGGACUCUAACGAGACUGCCACCGCAAGGUGAGAGGAAGGCGGGGAUGACGUCAAAUCAGCACGGCCCUUACGUCCGGGGCGACACACGUGUUACAAUGGCGGUCACAGAGGGAAGCUACCCUGCGAAGGGAUGCAGAUCUCGAAAAGCCGUCUCAGUUCGGACUGGAGUCUGCAACUCGACUCCACGAAGCUGGAUUCGCUAGUAAUCGCGCAUCAGCCAUGGCGCGGUGAAUACGUUCCCGGGCCUUGCACUCACCGCCCGU